GACGAACGCUGGCGGCGUGCCUAAUACAUGCAAGUCGAGCGGAAGUUGGAGAGCUUGCUCUUCAACUUUAGCGGCGGACGGGUGAGUAACACGUGGGCAACCUGCCCUGCAGAUCGGGAUAACUCCGGGAAACAGGUGCUAAUACCGAAUAGUUUUCGCCACCUCCUGGUGGCGUACGGAACGACGGUUUCGGCUGUCACUGCAGGAUGGGCCUGCGGCGCAUUAGCUAGUUGGUGGGGUAACGGCCCACCAAGGCGACGAUGCGUAGCCGACCUGAGAGGAUGAUCGGCCACACUGGGACUGAGACACGGCCCAGACUCCUACGGGAGGCAGCAGUAGGGAAUCUUCCGCAAUGGACGAAAGUCUGACGGAGCAACGCCGCGUGAGUGACGAAGGUUUUCGGAUCGUAAAACUCUGUUGUGAGGGAAGAACAAGUACCACUUAACUACUGGUACCUUGACGGUACCUCACCAGAAAGCCACGGCUAACUACGUGCCAGCCGCCGCAGUAACAC
rnacentral:rRNA from 1 species